AUCAGGGGUUCUGGAAACGGAACCUCCGGGUCAGUCUCCGCUUACCGCAGGGAUCGAUUCGUGUUGUUACGCCCACAAGGCAGCUCGACGAGAUGGCGACUGGAACGAGGUUGUCCUGAGGGACGGGGAAGCGUUUCACGUAUCGAGUUGCACGGUGCCAAGGGCGUCCACGGGCCUGCACGCACCACCGCUCGCCUACCCGGCAGCGAGCACACGAUGCGCUUCGUCC
rnacentral:ncRNA from 1 species